CCUUCGGGUUGUAAACCGCUUUUUGUCAGGGAAGAAACGCUCCGGAUUAAUACCUCGGAGUAAUGACAGUACCUGAAGAAUAAGCACCGGCUAACUACGUGC
rnacentral:rRNA from 1 species